AGUGAACGCUGGCGGCAGGCCUAAUACAUGCAAGUCGAACGGCAGCACAGCAGAGCUUGCUCUGUGGGUGGCGAGUGGCGGACGGGUGAGGAAUACAUGGGAAUCUGCCCAGUCGAGGGGGAUAACGUAGGGAAACUUACGCUAAUACCGCAUGCGCCCUUCGGGGGAAAGCCGGGGACCUUCGGGCCUGGCGCGAUUGGAUGAGCCCAUGUCGGAUUAGCUAGUUGGUGGGGUAAAGGCCCGCCAAGGCGACGAUCCGUAGCUGGUCUGAGAGGAUGAUCAGCCACACUGGAACUGAGACACGGUCCAGACUCCUACGGGAGGCAGCAGUAGGGAAUAUUGGACAAUGGGCGCAAGCCUGAUCCAGCCAUGCCGCGUGAGUGAAGAAGGUCUUCGGGUUGUAAAGCUCUUUUGUCCGGAAAGAAAAGCAUCCAGUUAAUACCUGGGUGUCCUGACGGUACCGGAAGAAUAAGCACCGGCUAACUUCGUGCCAGCCGCCGCAGUAAAAC
rnacentral:rRNA from 1 species